rnacentral:rRNA from 1 species
GAUGAACGCUGGCGGCGUGCCUAAUACAUGCAAGUCGAGCGAACAGACGAGGAGCUUGCUCCUCUGACGUUAGCGGCGGACGGGUGAGUAACACGUGGAUAACCUACCUAUAAGACUGGGAUAACUUCGGGAAACCGGGGCUAAUACCGGAUAAUAUAUUGAACCGCAUGGUUCAAUAGUGAAAGACGGUUUUGCUGUCACUUAUAGAUGGAUCCGCGCCGCAUUAGCUAGUUGGUAAGGUAACGGCUUACCAAGGCGACGAUGCGUAGCCGACCUGAGAGGGUGAUCGGCCACACUGGAACUGAGACACGGUCCAGACUCCUACGGGAGGCAGCAGUAGGGAAUCUUCCGCAAUGGGCGAAAGCCUGACGGAGCAACGCCGCGUGAGUGAUGAAGGUCUUCGGAUCGUAAAACGCUGUUAUUAGGGAAGAACAAAUGUGUAAGUAACUAUGGACGUCUUGACGGUACCUGAUCAGAAAGCAACGGCUAACUACGUG